rnacentral:rRNA from 1 species
CCUACGGGAGGCAGCAGUGGGGAAUAUUGCACAAUGGGGGAAACCCUGAUGCAGCGACGCCGCGUGAGCGAUGAAGUAUUUCGGUAUGUAAAGCUCUAUCAGCAGGGAAGAAAAUGACGGUACCUGACUAAGAAGCCCCGCCUAACUACGGGCCAGCAGCGCCGGUAAUACGUAGGGGGCAAGCGUUAGCCGGAUUUACUGGGUGUAAAGGGAGCGUAGACGGCUUGGCAAGCCAGUGGUGAAAGGCUGGGGCUCAACCCCAGGACUGCAUUUGGAACUGGCAUGCUAGAGUGUCGGAGAGGCAGGCGGAAUUCCUAGUGUAGCGGUGAAAUGCGUAGAUAUUAGGAGGAACACCAGUGGCGAAGGCGGGCUGCUGGACGAUGACUGACGUUGAGGCGCGAAAGCGUGGGGAGCAAACAGGAUUAGAUACCCUAGUAGUC